GACAGAGGGUGCAAACGUUGUUCGGAAUUACUGGGCGUAAAGCGCGUGUAGGCGGCAGGGCAUGUCGGAUGUGAAAUCCCGUGGCUCAACCACGGAAGUGCACCCGAAACUGCCCAGCUUGAGUCUCGGAGAGGAAGGCGGAAUGCUUGGUGUAGAGGUGAAAUUCGUAGAUAUCAAGCGGAACACCGGUGGCGAAGGCGACCUUCUGGACGAUGACUGACGCUGAGACGCGAAAGCGUGGGGAGCAAACAGG
rnacentral:rRNA from 1 species